ACGAACGCUGGCGGCGUGCUUAACACAUGCAAGUCGAACGGAAAGGCCCUUCGGGGUACUCGAGUGGCGAACGGGUGAGUAACACGUGGGUAACCUGCCCUCAGCUUCGGGAUAACUCCGGGAAACCGGGGCUAAUACCGGAUAUUCAUUUCGCAUCGCAUGGUGUGGGGUGGAAAGUUUUUCGGCUGGGGAUGGGCCCGCGGCCUAUCAGCUUGUUGGUGGGGUGAUGGCCUACCAAGGCUUCGACGGGUAGCCGGCCUGAGAGGGCGACCGGCCACACUGGGACUGAGACACGGCCCAGACUCCUACGGGAGGCAGCAGUGGGGAAUAUUGCGCAAUGGGCGGAAGCCUGACGCAGCGACGCCGCGUGAGGGAUGACGGCCUUCGGGUUGUAAACCUCUUUCAGCAGGGACGAAUGUAGACGGUACCUGUAGAAGAAGCACCGGCCAACUACGU
rnacentral:rRNA from 1 species